UACGUAGGCAGCAAGCGUUGUUCGGAGUUACUGGGCGUAAAGGGUGUGUAGGCGGUUUUCUAAGUCUGGUGUGAAAUCUCCCGGCUCAACUGGGAGGGUGCGCCGAAAACUGGAAGGCUAGAGUGCGGGAUGGGAGAGUGGAAUUCCUGGUGUAGCGGUGAAAUGCGCAGAUAUCAGGAGGAACACCGGUGGCGAAGGCGGAUCUCUGGGCCAUUACUGACGCUGAGGAGCGAAAGCGUGGGGAGCGAACAGG
rnacentral:rRNA from 1 species